rnacentral:lncRNA from 1 species
GCAUUAUACCAAAUAUAUAGUCUAUAAUAUUGAGAAAAUGGCCAAAACUAUGGGCUAGAUUAGAUAUAUUUUCAUCCUCAGCAUUAACAUAAAAAAAAUGUAAUAAAAGAAAUUAGGAGUACUAUGUAUCUAUUUAGUGUCAACAUAAAGUCCUGAAAAAAUCAUCACCAAAUUAAAUUUAUAAUAAAUGGUCAAAGACUAAACAUCAAAUAAGAACAUGCUGGGACCCCAAAUGUAUGAAAUAUAUACAUACCCCACCUUGAUCAUGGCAUAUUUAUAAUAAACAUCAAAUAAGAACAUGCUGGGUCCCCAAAGGUAUGAAAUAUAUACAUACCCCACCUUGAUCAUGGCAUAUUUAUAAUAGUAAUCC